GUUCCUCUCCCCCACGGUUUCCAUCCCCAAUCCACACUGUGGGAUGGUAAGGUGCUGCCUUCUGGCCUAAGCGUUCCUGCAGCACAGGACGAAAUCAGCACAAAGACGCGGAUGACAAAACACGAAGUACUUGAACUGAGAUUUCAUGUGGAAAUCACCGAUUGCCGGGCUGCAGUUUGUUGUGUCCACGCGGCUUUUUCUCUGCCACCACCCGUGCCACAAGCUCUCACCCAAAUCUGCAUGAAAGCGUUAACGCAGCCAUUGAAAUACAUGAGUUACUAGCUACAUCCCCGGGGAUGUAGUUCCUGGUGUCCACAGAUCAAGGUUUCCCACUAAAUGAUACAAGCAAUCCUACAAAUGGUGAUGAUGGAAGAAGAGAGUACAAAUCAGAUGGGGACGUUGCCAACCUAAUCCAAGCUUAUAGUCUUUAGGUGCAACGUUCCUUGACAGAAAUUGUGUUUAGCCACAUUUCUCUAAAAACAACUGCCUUUUCCAAUGUUGCCUGCAUAUCUUUGUAGCUGGUGUAGCAUCAAAGUUUACUUCCAACCUUUCCAGUUCAUUCUCCUGCUCUUUGAAGUCUCCUAGUAUCCAUCUCUUACACCUGCACUCCAACAUUUCGGCAUCUUCACUGCCUGGCUUUCUUAUUACACGAACUUCAGAAGUGCUAACCAGCAUUAGAAUUCCCUAGGAGGGGGCUGCUCUGGAGAAAUGCUGAGAGCCAUAGCAGUAAAACAAAAAUAACAACAAACCCCAACAGCAUAUAUAGACAUUCAGCACUAUUCAGAAUCAGAUGCUAGACUACAAACUGUGGCAAGCAUUGCAGCCGCCUGCGCAGUCUAAAGCAACUCUGCAAAAAAAAAACUGUCUGUAAUGCAAUAAAAUUGUUAUUCUUAUUAGCUGAUGUAAUAGCUUAGGGAUCUCUGCCAAGAACUAUGGAUGUUAAAUGUGGUCCUUUGAUAAAUACCUUUGUAUGUGCUUGGUAUUAACGAAAGCAUUACCAUCUGUUUACCUUGCACUAAUACACAUCACAUUUUUGCACAAAUCCCAGCUUGUGUUGCAUAAGGCACUGUAUCCAUCAGAAUGGGUGACAAAAGUUUAAAUCAAGCAGGCCGUGUUUCAGCACGUUAUUCAUAAAACUAGGUCAUGGGAUAAAUGUACUGUUGGAACAUAGCUUUAUACUAAUUUUCCCAGUAAGAUGCAUCAUAAAUAUUAACUGUCCUGAACACAUAUACACAAGCUCACGGCCUUGGCUCCAGGCCCUUCACAUGGAAGCUGGAGAACAAGCUCUGACUUAAGGUAGUGAGAAUGUGAGGAACUCUGAAUUAUCAUCAAUAAUAGAUUCUUUGCUGCCUCAAGCUCUUUCAGCCA